UACGUAGGGUGCAAGCGUUGUCCGGAAUUAUUGGGCGUAAAGAGCUCGUAGGCGGUCUGUCGCGUCUGCUGUGAAAACUCAGGGCUUAACCCUGGGCUUGCAGUGGGUACGGGCAGACUAGAGUGCGGUAGGGGAGACUGGAAUUCCUGGUGUAGCGGUGAAAUGCGCAGAUAUCAGGAGGAACACCGGUGGCGAAGGCGGGUCUCUGGGCCGUAACUGGCGCUGAGGAGCGAAAGCAUGGGGAGCGAACAGG
rnacentral:rRNA from 1 species